UCCCAGCGGUCCAAGUCGCAGCCAAUUUUAUUGGGUCUAAAACAUCCGUAGCUUGCUUCGUCAGUCUCGUGUGAAAUCGGGCCUCUCAAGGGUCCGGCGGGCACGAGAUACUGCGAAGCUAGGGACCGGGAGACGGAAGGAGUACGCAUCGGGUAGCGGUAAAAUGCGUUGAUCCGAUGCGGACUAACGAUAGCGAAGGCACCUUCCGAGAACGGAUCCGACAGUGAGGGAUGAAGGCUAGGGGCGCAAA
rnacentral:rRNA from 1 species